rnacentral:rRNA from 1 species
UAGCCCUACGGGAGGCAGCAGUGGGGGAUAUUGCACAAUGGGGGGAACCCUGAUGCAGCGACGCCGCGUGGGUGAAGAAGCGCCUCGGCGCGUAAAGCCCUGUCAGCAGGGAGGAAAAUGACGGUACCUGAAGAAGAAGCCCCGGCUAACUACGUGCCAGCAGCCGCGGAAAUACGUAGGGGGCAAGCGUUAUCCGGAUUUACUGGGGGUAAAGGGAGCGCAGGCGGGAAGCCAAGGC